rnacentral:rRNA from 1 species
CCCUUAGAUGUUCUGGGCCGCACGCGUGCCACACUGAGUGGAUCAGCGGGUCAGGUUGCGCGAAAGUGUUUCCUAAUCUUGAAAUCCGCUCGUGAUGGGGAUUGACGGUUGCAAUUUUCCGUCAUGAACGAGGAAUACCUUGUAAGCGCGGGUCAUCAUCCCGCGCUGAAUACGUCCCUGCCCUUUGUACACACCGCCCGUCGCUCCUACCGAUUGAGUGGUCCGGUGAGGCUUUGGGAUCUGAGCAAAAAGAGCGUUUCGCUCGUUUGGCUCGGAAAACUCAGUCGAACCUUAUCAUUUAGAGGAAGGAGAAGUCGUAACA